rnacentral:rRNA from 1 species
GGUUCGAUCCUGGCUCAGAUUGAACGCUGGCGGGAUGCUUUACACAUGCAAGUCGAACGGCGGCACGGACUUCGGUCUGGUGGCGAGUGGCGAACGGGUGAGUAAUGUAUCGGAACGUGCUAGUAGCGGGGGAUAACUACGCGAAAGCGUAGCUAAUACCGCAUACGCCCUUCGAAGGGGAAAAGCGGGGGACCUUCGGGCCUCGCACUAUUAGAGCGACCGAUAUCGGAUUAGCUAGUUGGUGGGGUAACGGCUCACCAAGGCGACGAUCAACAACUGGUUUGAGAGGACGACCAGCCACACUGGGACUGAGACACGGCCCAGACUCUACGGGAGGCAGCAGUGGGAAUUUUUGGACAAUGGAAACCUGAUCCAGCCAUCCCGCGUGUGCGAUGAAGGCCUUCGGAGUUGUAAAGCACUUUUGGCAGGAAAGAAACGGCACGGGAUAAUACCCCGUGCAACUGACGGUACCUGCAGAAUAAAGCACCGGCUAACUACGUACCAGCAGCCGCGGUAAUACGUAGGGUGCAAGCGUUAAUCGGAAUUACUGGGCGUAAAGCGUGCGCAGGCGGUUCGGAAAGAAGAUGUGAAAUCCAGAGCUUAACUUUGGAACUGCAUUUUUAACUACCGAGCUAGAGUGUGUCAGAGGGAGGUGGAAUUCCGCGUGUAGCAGUGAAAUGCGUAGAUAUGCGGAGGAACACCGAUGGCGAAGGCAGCCUCCUGGGAUAACACUGACGCUCAUGCACGAAAGCGUGGGAGCAAACGGGAUUAGAUACCCUGGUAGUCCACGCCUAAACGAUGUCAACUAGCUGUUGGGGCCUUCGGGCCUUGGUAGCGCAGCUAACGCGUGAAGUUGACCGCCUUACAGAAUUACGGUCGCAGAUUAAAACUCAAAGGAAUUGACAGGGACCCGCACAAGCGGUGGAUGAUGUGGAUUAAUUCGAUGCAACGCGAAAACCUUACCUACCCUUGACAUGUCUGGAAUCCCGAAGAGAUUGGGAGUGCUCGCAAGAACCGGAACACAGGUGCUGCAUGGCUGUCGUCAGCUCGUGUCGUGAGAUGUUGGGUUAAGUCCCGCAACGAGCGCAACCCUUGUCAUUAGUUGCUACGAAAGGGCACUCUAAUGAGACUGCCGGUGACAGACCGGAGGAAGGUGGGGAUGACGUCAAGUCCUCAUGGCCCAUAUGGGUAGGGCUUCACACGUCAUACAAUGGUCGGGACGGAGAGGGGUCGCCAACCCCGCGAGGGGGAGCCAAUCCCGAAACCCGAUCACGGCUAGUCCGGAUCGCGGUCUGCAACUCGACUGCGUGAAGUCGGAGAUCGCUAGUAAUCGCGGAUCAGCAUGUCGCGGUGAAUACGUUCGGGUCUUGUACACACCGCCCGUCACACCAUGGGAGUGGGUUUACCAGAAGUAGUUAGCCUAACCGUAAGGAGGGCGAUUACCACGGGCGAGAUUCAUGACUGGGGUGAAGUCGUAACAAGGUAG